UUCAACCAAUUAUAUUUCCUUCUUCGCGAAUUGGCUUCAGAAUCUCUUUCUUGUGGUUCCGUGUAGUGUGACUUUUGACAAUAGUGACGACGUCGUCAAAAAUAGCUUGUUUCCAUGUGUAUGGAAAUGCCCUUGGAAUGUUCAGAAAGUUUGCAAAGAACAGGCGAAUGAAUCAAGAGAUACUAGGCUCUAGAUAUAAUUUCUUUUGAAGGAAUGGCCAAUUUUCAGUCAUGGGCGUGGGCCUUUCCUUGCUCUGCAUAAUUCGACAAUAGCCAGUUGAGUUACUGUACAACAUUCUACUACGUUUGCUCGUUUUAGGUUUCCAUUGGCAACCAAUCACAUGACUGCAGCAAUUGAUACAUGAGCAAUAACAGAGGAGCUGCUGGAGGCAUUGUUCUGAGUCAGGAGUGCUAGACU